rnacentral:tRNA from 1 species
CCAUCGGCUGGUUGAGGUCGAUGCGGACGACGUCACCGUCGUCGAGGCCCGUGGCGGAGCCGCCGUUGAGUUCGGCGUCGGUGGUC